rnacentral:misc_RNA from 1 species
AUAUGCUAAUAAAAAGACUCGUGGUGCCUUCAUUGCAGCAGUAUUUGCAAUGCAAGGGUUUGGAAUUUUAGGAGGAGGCAUAUUUGCUAUAAUUGUAUCCUCUGUAUUUAAGGCCAAGUUCAAGGCUCCCGCUUAUCAAGUUGAUCCAAUUGGCUCAACUGUUCCCCAAGCAGAUUAUGUUUGGCGAAUUAUUCUGAUGUUUGGAGCAUUACCAGCAGCACUUACAUACUACUGGCGUAUGAAGAUGCCUGAA